AAUAUAGAAUUAGCUAUUUACAAAAAAUAAAGAAAUAUGAAAAAAGAUAAAAUAAGACGAUAGAUUGCAGGAAAGGGAACAAGAAAAUACAAUGAUUUUUAAUGCACGAACAUACACGAGCAAGUUUCAACUCAUUCUUCGGUUUUAAUAUUGAUUUGAAAGAGCUUAAAGGAUUCAGCAUUUUUUGCCUCAUAUUCCAGUGCAAGGCACCGUUAUAACUGAAGCACCUCUUGCCGAAUUCUCUUUUUGGCAUAGGUGGUGCUAAAUCAGUUUCCCUAUCUUCCCUGAGAUUGUAUGUAUAUUAUGUCUUUCAUUAUUAGAUUGAAAUGCUUCUUUUUCAAGAUGUUGAGUUCAAGCUGUUGAUUCGUGUACACUCGAGAAAACAUAGAUCCCAAAACAUAGAUCCCA